rnacentral:lncRNA from 1 species
GUUGUGAUCAGCACUUUUUAAAAAGAACAGAAUAGAAUAGAAAAUAUUAGAGUGCAUUACACGUGGUAUGACUAAAUAUUGUUUCCAAACAUGUCUGUUUCGGUUAAGUCCAGGUUUACAUAGUUAUCUGUGUACAGGGUUGCGAUGCGAAAUGUUUUUCUUACUAAAGGUGAUUGUCAAAGAGGCUUGAAAACACUGAGACAGAUGAUCUCUUGGGGUUCAAACCUAAGACUCCCUGAAACAGGCACCCAUAGUCAACCAGUUCAUGUAGUAGCACAUAUCAUCAAAGAACUGAGAGUGUGGUUAAGAAAAUGGGAGUGGAAAGGCAUGUGGAGCUCCCCCUUGUCAGGAUGAGCCUCUAGCUUACUGAGAAAGGGACUCUCCAGAGAGAGGACACCCUGGUGGCCAAGACCACGGAGAGAAACAUCCAGUGCUCCAGCUCAUCCAGACUGUUCACCAGGAUAUUGUGAUGAUUCCUGUGGCACCUGUCUCUCUUCACCUCCUCACACUUCAAUCCCCAUCCCCCAACGCCCAGUCUCCCUCCUUCUCCAAAAGAGUGUGCAGGAGGGAGAAACGAUCAGGUUAUUUUGGGGAUGGUCUCGGGCACAUGAAGAAAGCACCGUGGCAUUUUUCCUCUGAUUCUCUUUGAAAGACUAGUGUCCAAGACCAACUCUUAAAAAGGAAGAGAUCAUCGAAUGGCUGACAGCCCACAAAGCCUGCACUUGAAAAUCAAGUGCCUUGUCUCUAUAAAAAAAAAAAAUGUUUCUCACGCACAAUGUUGCCCUGGUUUCAUUUACUCUGAAAGAGAUUUGGUCUUUACAGGAAAACCCUCACUAUUGUUAACAAGAUCUAUCUCGCAAAAAAAUGUUGUUGACCUCUCUCUCCCCUGUUCCAUGGUGGAGGUGCGGGCUGAAGAGGAAGGAAGGUUGAUCCUGGAUUGAGAAGUUUCCAGCCUGGAAUGAUUACAAUUGAAAGAGGUUUUUUUCCUUAUUCUUCCUGCUGCCGACAUACCCACUGCUCUCUUUUAAAACAACAACAUUACCGGGCGCCUGGGCCGUUCAGUAAGUUAAGCGUCCAACUUCGGCUUAGGUCAUGAUCUCAUGAUUCAUGGGUUCGAGCCCGGCAUCAGGCUCUCACCCUCUCAAAAUAAAUAAAGAAACACUUAAAAUAUAAAAAAAAAU